UCCAUUAAAGUUUUUAAUUCAGUGUCAUU
rnacentral:sRNA from 1 species